GCGUAGGUAAUCUACCCCUGAAUUUGGGAUAACAUUGCGAAAGUGAUGCUAAUACCGGAUGACAUCGGAUUUACUGCGGUGAAUUUGAUCAAAGAUGGCCUCUAUAAAUAAGCUAUUGUUUAGGGAUGAGCCUGCGUACCAUUAGCUAGUUGGUGGGGUAAGAGCCUGCCAAGGCGACGAUGGUUAGCUGGUCUGAGAGGAUGAUCAGCCACACUGGAACUGACACACGGUCCAGACUCCUACGGGAGGCAGCAGUGAGGAAUUUUGCGCAAUGGGGGCAACCCUGACGCAGCGACGCCGCGUGAGUGAAGAAGGUUUUCGGAUCGUAAAGCUCUGUCGAGUGGGAAGAAGAUGUUUUAGGUUAAUAUCCUGGAGUAUUGACGGUACCGCAGAAGGAAGCACCGGCUAACUCCGUGCCAGCAGCCGCGGUAAUACGGAGGGUGCGAGCGUUAUUCGGAAUUAUUGGGCGUAAAGGGCGUGUAGGCGGUCCUGUAAGUCAGAUGUGAAAUCCCGGGGCUCAACCUCGGAACUGCAUUUGAAACUGUAGGACUUGAGUAUGGGAGAGGGAAGUGGAAUUCCUGGUGUAGAGGUGAAAUUCGUAGAUAUCAGGAGGAACACCGGUGGCGAAGGCGACUUCCUGGACCAAUACUGACGCUGAG
rnacentral:rRNA from 1 species